UACGUAGGGGUGGCGAGCGUUAAUUCGGAAAUUACUGGGCGUUAAAGCGUGACGCAGGCGGUUGGUUAAGUUCUGAUGUGAAAGACCCCCCGGGCUCAACCUGGGGAAUGGCAUUGGAAACUGUCCAGCUGGAGUGUGGCAGAGGGGGGGUGGAAUUCCGCGUGUAGCAGUGAAAUGCGUAGAGAUGCGGAGGAACACCGAUGGCGAAGGCAGCCCCCCUGGGCCAACACUGACGCUCAGGCACGAAAGCGUGGGGGAGCAAACAGG
rnacentral:rRNA from 1 species